rnacentral:rRNA from 1 species
UAAGACUGGGAUAACUCCGGGAAACCGGGGCUAAUACCGGAUAACAUUUUGAACUGCAUGGUUCGAAAUUGAAAGGCGGCUUCGGCUGUCACUUAUGGAUGGACCCGCGUCGCAUUAGCUAGUUGGUGAGGUAACGGCUCACCAAGGCAACGAUGCGUAGCCGACCUGAGAGGGUGAUCGGCCACACUGGGACUGAGACACGGCCCAGACUCCUACGGGAGGCAGCAGUAGGGAAUCUUCCGCAAUGGACGAAAGUCUGACGGAGCAACGCCGCGUGAGUGAUGAAGGCUUUCGGGUCGUAAAACUCUGUUGUUAGGGAAGAACAAGUGCUAGUUGAAUAAGCUGGCACCUUGACGGUACCUAACCAGAAAGCCACGGCUAACUACGUGCCAGCAGCCGCGGUAAUACGUAGGUGGCAAGCGUUAUCCGGAAUUAUUGGGCGUAAAGCGCGCGCAGGUGGUUUCUUAAGUCUGAUGUGAAAGCCCACGGCUCAACCGUGGAGGGUCAUUGGAAACUGGGAGACUUGAGUGCAGAAGAGGAAAGUGGAAUUCCAUGUGUAGCGGUGAAAUGCGUAGAGAUAUGGAGGAACACCAGUGGCGAAGGCGACUUUCUGGUCUGUAACUGACACUGAGGCGCGAAAGCGUGGGGAGCAACAGGAUUAGAUACCUGGUAGUCACGCCGUAAACGAUGAGUGCUAAGUGUAGAGGUUUCGCCCUUUAGUGCUGAAGUAACGCAUAAGCACUCCGCCUGGGGAGUACGCCGCAAGCUGAACUCAAAGAAUUGACGGGGCCCGCACAAGCGGUGGAGCAUGUGGUUUAAUCGAAGCACGCGAAGACCUUACAGGUCUUGACAUCCUCUGAAACCCUAGAGAUAGGCUUCUCCUUCGGGAGCAGAGUGACAGGUGGUGCAUGGUUGUCGUCAGCUCGUGUCGUGAGAUGUUGGGUUAAGUCCCGCAACGAGCGCACCCUUGAUCUUAGUUGCCAUCAUUAAGUUGGGCACUCUAAGGUGACUGCCGGUGACAACCGGAGGAAGGUGGGGAUG